AAGUCGGUCGUAAUUACAAAAUUGUACCAUCAUUAAGAAAAUACAAAUAAAAAUAUAUCACAUUGGUUAAAUGGAUUUAUUCAUAAUAUACAUAUUAUUAUAGGAUGAUGGAAAGUUUAAUUUAGUAGUAUAGAAGAUAACUACGUCAAAUCACUGAAACGAGAAACACUUUUAAGGUUGUGGCUGUUAUAUUAUAAUCUCAACUAUUUGAUCGCACUUGGAAAAAUAAUAUAAGCCUCUUGUUUAUUCUA